GACGCUGGCGGCGUGCCUAACACAUGCAAGUCGAGCGAGGAGAUUCCUUCGGGAUGAUCCUAGCGGCGGACGGGUGAGUAACACGUGGGCAACCUGCCUCAUAGAGAGGAAUAGCCUUCCGAAAGGGAGAUUAAUACCUCAUAACAUUGCAGUUUCGCAUGGAACAGCAAUUAAAGGAGUAAUCCGCUAUGAGAUGGGCCCGCGGCGCAUUAGCUAGUUGGUGAGGUAACGGCUCACCAAGGCGACGAUGCGUAGCCGACCUGAGAGGGUGAUCGGCCACAUUGGGACUGAGACACGGCCCAGACUCCUACGGGAGGCAGCAGUGGGGAAUAUUGCACAAUGGGGGAAACCCUGAUGCAAGCAACGCCGCGUGAGUGAUGACGGCCUUCGGGUUGUAAAGCUCUGUCUUCAGGGACGAUAAUGACGGUACCUGAGGAGGAAGCCACGGCUAACUACGUGCCAGCAGCCGC
rnacentral:rRNA from 1 species